GAAAUGGAAAGGAGAGAAAAAAGAUAAGCCCCCCAAAUAUGCUUGAUAUCAGUGACAGAGGAAGAAAAGCAGGAGGGGCAGAACUGCUUAGUUGAAUGAGAAAUAUAGCAGAAAAUAGACAUGGGGAUGGGGGGAAAGCAAGGUGAUUUAGGGACCAGUGAUGCCAGUGGGAUGAAAAGUCCAAGGUGGAGAGUGACUAGCAGUGAAACAGGCUAGGAGUUGGAGACGAAGGACCAGUGAGUAAAAGGAAUUAGAAUAUUGUGGCAGCUGCUAAGGGGGGCUUCGUGCCACCUCCCUGUGGCCUCUUCUGACUUGAGCCCCAUCUAACUUCAGUUGCAGUUGGGGUGGACAGUUCUUCAGACACCGAGAGCUUCCCAUCCUAAGUCUUCUCAGCUCCUCUGCCUCAGAACUUUCUCCAAAGCUGCAGAAGCCACUCAUUCAGCCAAGCAUGGAAGAGUUAAUAAGAGGCAGGGAAGGAAGAGAUGAGAAGAGGGAGCAGGAGGAGUUGCUGGUGGAUGAGGAGAUGCUGCAGCUUUCAAAGCUAAGGGAGGAGCGAUUAUUCUGGAUGCAUUCAGAACCUUCCUCAAAGAGUCCCCAAUGAGAUUUAGCCCCAAUUUCCAAACUUGUAACCAGCUCAAUAUUUUAAUAUUAUGCUCUUCAUGGACUUUCUAUUCUUCCCUGUAUCAAUCUCUCUGCCUUCAUUCCAGCUUCUUGAGAUUACCCCCCAAAUAAACCACCUGCACCAAAGUCCUUAUCUCAGACUCUGCUUUCGGGGGACCCCAAACCUAAAAGAGAACCAAAGGAAGGAAGUUGGCGACAACAGCUACAGCAGAGAAAGAACAGUUGCAAUGCCUGUAAAAAUGUCCAACAAUACAUAAUAAAUUUCAGCUUAUGUUAAUCACAGUAACAUAAGCUGAAAGGAAUCUUAAGACAUCAUCCAGUCUGUUUUUUUUACUUUAAGGUGGGAACUUCACCAAACCGAGGCAGGAGAAGCUUUGUUAAAAGUUGUUAUGUGAAAACCCCUUAAUUAACAAAAUCUCUGAAGUUAUCAUUAUCAUUAACACUGAUAAUGAGCUAGACCACCAGUGCCAAAAGCCUACAAAAAGAUAUCACUGUUGACUUCUUGUAAAUCAAUCCAACCAUCCUGAUUAAUGAUCUUGGGGAGGUCACCAUCUCAUCACACUGAAGCUACUAUCUCUCUCCCUUCCUGCCUCAAUAAGGCUUCUGUUUUCACCAUAUAUUUAACUGGAACCAAAGAUUUCCCCGCUCGCUGGUGCAGUCCAACCAAAACUAUUUUGCUCAUCAUUACUUAAGGGGUCAGAGUUCAUUUAGUUUUGUUUGUUUUUUUUGUUUUGCUUUUUAAGGGCCAUACCCAUGGCUUAUGGAAGUUCUCAGGCUAGGGGUCUCAUCAGAGCUACAGCUGCCGGCCCACACGACAGUCACGGCAACGUGGGAUCUGAGCCGAGUCUGCUACCUACACCAGAGCUCACGGCAAUGUCGGAUCCCUAACCCACUGAGAGGGGCCAGGGAUUGAACCUGCGUCUUUAUGGCUGCUAGUAGGAGUUGCUUCUGCUGUGCCACAACAGGAACUCCUGGGUUCACUUAGUUUUGAAAAAUCUAUUUUUUAACAUGUACACUUCCUUAAAAAUCAUCAGCUAUCCCUUAAAAAUUUGAAUAUUAUUUAGGUCCCAGAUGCUCUCUUGUUUCUCAGAAGUCCUCAGAGACUGUUGAGCAGUGAGUAUAAAUGUUUUUGUAUAAGGAUUCGAUGUGUAGCUCUAUAGAAGAAAAGAGCCAUAUAUUUCAAUAGCAAAGCUGGUUUCUUGAUAAGAUCACUCUCUGUGGAUUAAACUCCUCUUUCAACAUCAAUAUCAAAUAUAUAACUCCCCGAAUUAUUCAAAUGGCUAGAUACAUUUACAAAUGGAUUUCCGAUAACACGGAAGAUGAGGGUGGACAUUUUGAAAUAGACUCCUGUUCAAAUAAUCGUUACAAAGAAAAUCACUCUUCAGCAGAAAGAGAACAGUUUCAUCAGAUUUUUUUUUUCAUGAUACAUAAGGAAAAAAAUAUGAGAUCUAAAAGGGAAAAUUAGGGCCAUUAUCUGGACUAUUUGUGACAACGCUGCGGAGGGAAGAAAGCUAUUAAAGAUCCUCAAUAUAGAGCAUGCACAGAGCUGGUUGUAAUUGACAGUGAACUUCCAGUGGUGUUUGGAAGAGGCACACCCUGGCAAUGUGGAAGAGCGGUGGUAAUUAAACGGUCAUAAAAAUCUGAAACUGGAAGGCUGACAAGGGAGCGUCCAGGCAUUCCGAACACGAAAGUCUAAUAGUCAAUCUGCAGUGCUCUUCUUCAGCUUAAGUAACAUUUGCCAGAAUUCUCAGUCAACACUUUUCUCCCUGUCUUUUUUGCAUUACACUGCAGGAAUUAUAUGGAGCCUGCUGUGAGCAAGAGAUAAAGGGCAUGGAGGUUCUCGGGAAUGGGGGUGGAAGAAGAGAGGUGAGAAAAUGCAUCUCAGUACAAGCCCUUACCUGCACCAACAUAAAGAACAUGGCAUCUCUGACAUGUGGGCUCUGAGUGUGCCUUGUCGUGUUGUUUGUUAUUUGCAGCAACUGAACAAGGUGCAUGAAACGGCAUAAAACUUCAGAGAUGGGUGUGGAGAACUGGGCUGCAGCAGUAAGAGGUUCAUUUCUUCCCUGUGGUCUCCAGGGGCUGUAUCUACAGGUGUGAAACCAUCCGAUCCAGACCAGCAGCAGGUGAGGAUGGGAGGCACAUGCAUGUCAGUUUCAGGAAGAUCAGAGCUCAAGUCCUGUGGUGUCAUUUACCCAAAGGGGUGAUGGUGAGAAAAUUAUUUUACUUUUCUGCUCAGUUUUUUGGUUUUGUUAUUUAUUUGUUUAUUUAAGCCACACACAUGGCAUGCAGAAGUUCCCAGGCUGGGGAUCGAACCUGUGCCACAGCAGUGACCCCAGCCAGCAGUGACAAGGUUGGAUCCUGCUGAGCGACACGGGAACUCCAUCUGCUCAGUUUUCGGUCUGAAAAAUAAUGGUAAUAAUCUUGUAGGGUUUCUGGGAGCCUUAAAUGUGACCAUGUAUGCAAAGCACUUUGUACAGUGCCUGGCACGUGGUAAUACUCAGUAAAUGCUGGCCACUGCUUUCAGAGACCAGAAAAACUGCUGCCAGAUUUUUUUUUUUUUUUUUUUUUUUUUUUUUUUUUUACAGCAUUUCUUACCAUUCCUGAGUGAACUCCUCCAUGUGCCCAGCGCUAGGCUGGGUGGUUUCCUCUGAGAAUUCUCACUGGGAGAAUAAACGGCUAACAAAUUCUGUGCAAGUUUGAUUCCAAGCCCUGUGGUCUUUUAGCUACACCUCACAGCUUCCUACUGCAGCAAGGAGGAACGAAUGGAGAUUAGAAGCCAGCUGCUGAGGCAAAUCUUUCUGAGCUUUACUGUGGAAUGGUGUUAACUUCCAUGCAAACAUUCUCUCCCCCACCCCCUCCCUCGUGCCUGUGGCCUUUGUGGAUUAAUUUGUUAAACAAAAUAUUCCUGCUGUGUCGUACUGGGAACUAUAUCUAGUCACUUAUGACAGAGCAUCAAGGAGGAUAAUGUGAGAAAAAGAAUGGAUAUACGUAUAUAUGACUGGGUCACCUGGCCAUACAGUAGAAAAUUGACAAAACACUGCAAACCAGCUAUAACAGAAAAAAAUCAAAAGCAUUUAAAAUUUUAAAAAAUGUUCGUUAACAGACCAUUAUAUGAUGGACAUUUUUUUUAAAAUCCUAUUUUCCAAGCAAGGUACUGAAUUGUGUGAAAUGUACUGCUCUUUGUGGAAAAAAAUAUGUAAAUACCUAAGUGCUUAUAUACAUCUAUAGUAUCUCUGGAAUAUUCUAGAAGAGACUGGUUGCUCCUGAGAGGGGAACUGAGCGAACAAGAGGGAGGGCUGUAGGUAGGACUUUUGGUACUUGUUGAAUUAUGUACCCCAUGCAUGCAUGAACUCUUGAAUAUGAUUAAAAAAAAAUUUCCUAUGUAACUACAAUUAUAAUUAUUAUCAAUUACAGUUGAGAGCUCUAUGCUUUGCCUACAUGCU
rnacentral:lncRNA from 1 species